rnacentral:misc_RNA from 1 species
GUGAAUCAUCGAAUUUUUGAACGCAUAUUGCACUCUCUGGUAUUCCGGAGAGUAUGCCUGUUUGAGGGUAAUUAUAAAGAAUCUUUAACCUCUUUUUUUGGUCAAAGGAUAUGAGAUCUCCGCGUUUAUAGCGGUAGUUUGAAAUAAAUGGCCAAGUCUCAUUAUAGUUGAGACGCGACAUAUUAAUAUUUUUCGAAAUAUUCUUUAUGUGUCUAU